ensembl:lncRNA
AGUUGAUCCGAUGGGUCGAAUAGUUGUGAGUUGAGUUGUUGUGCUGUUGGUUGAGAGGAUGAAUCAUUGUUAUGUUGUGGAGUUGAGCUGUUUGUUAGAGUUGGCGAGUAGAACUGUUGAGUUAUGAUUAUGUGAGUUUUGUUGGUUUGAGUUGAGUUGUUAUGAUGAUGUGAGUUGAGUUGGUUUGAGUUGAGUUGUUAUGAUGAUGUGAGUUGAGUUGUGUUGGUCUGAGUUAAGUUGUUAUGAUGAUGUGAGUUGAGUUGGUUUGAGUUGAGUUGGUUUGAGCUGUAUUGGUUUGAGUGAGGUUGUUAUGAUGAUGUGAGUUGUGUUGGUUUGAGUGAGUUGUUAUGAUGAUGUGAGUUGAGUUGAGUUGGUCUGAUGUUGUUAUGAUGAUGUGAGUUGAGUGUGUUGGUUUGAGUUGAGUUGUUAUGAUGAUGUGCGUUGAGUUGUGUUGGUUUGAGUUGAGUUGUUAUGAUGAUUUGGUUUGAGUUGAGUUGGUUUGAGUUGAGUUGUUAUGAUGAUGUGAGUUGAGUCGUGUUGAAGUGAGUGCUUUGUGUUAUUAUCCUCAGAGUUUAGUGUAAAGACGAUUCAAAAAGGCCGAUGUGGUUGAGAAUCUCUUCUUGUGGACCAGACCUAAAUGCCAUAAGACAUAAAUGAGACAUGAAAAUGGAUUUUUUUUUUUUUUUCAGUUUGAAAUGUGAGUUUCUUGAAUAAAAAACGC